CAGUCGAGCGACAGAUAAGGAGCUUGCUCCUUUGACGUUAGCGGCGGACGGGUGAGUAACACGUGGGUAACCUACCUAUAAGACUGGGAUAACUUCGGGAAACCGGAGCUAAUACCGGAUAACAUUUGGAACCGCAUGGUUCUAAAGUGAAAGAUGGUUUUGCUAUCACUUAUAGAUGGACCCGCGCCGUAUUAGCUAGUUGGUAAGGUAACGGCUUACCAAGGCGACCAUACGUAGCCGACCUGAGAGGGUGAUCGGCCACACUGGAACUGAGACACGGUCCAGACUCCUACGGGAGGCAGCAGUAGGGAAUCUUCCGCAAUGGGCGAAAGCCUGACGGAGCAACGCCGCGUGAGUGAUGAAGGGUUUCGGCUCGUAAAACUCUGUUAUUAGGGAAGAACAAACGUGUAAGUAACUGUGCACGUCUUGACGGUACCUAAUCAGAAAGCCACGGCUAACUACGUGCCAGCAGCCGCGGUAAUACGUAGGUGGCAAGCGUUAUCCGGAAUUAUUGGGCGUAAAGCGCGCGUAGCCGGUUUCUUAAGUCUGAUGUGAAAGCCCACGGCUCAACCGUGGAGGGUCAUUGGAAACUGGGAAACUUGAGUGCAGAAGAGGAAAGUGGAAUUCCAUGUGUAGCGGUGAAAUGCGCAGAGAUAUGGAGGAACACCAGUGGCGAAAGCGACUUUCUGGUCUGUAACUGACGCUGAUGUGCGAAAGCGUGGGGAUCAAACAGAUUAGAUACCGUGGUAGUCCACGCCGUAACGAUGA
rnacentral:rRNA from 1 species